UACGUAGGGAGCAAGCGUUGUCCGGAAUUACUGGGCGUAAAGGGUGCGUAGGCGGUCAGGCAAGUCAGAUGUGAAAUCCCCGGGCUUAACUCGGGUGGUGCAUUUGAAACUGCUUGACUUGAGUGCAGGAGAGGAAAGCGGAAUUCCUAGUGUAGCGGUGAAAUGCGUAGAUAUUAGGAGGAACACCAGUGGCGAAGGCGGCUUUCUGGACUGUAACUGACGCUGAGGCACGAAAGCGUGGGGAGCAAACAGG
rnacentral:rRNA from 1 species